rnacentral:rRNA from 1 species
GGGUUGUGAGGUUAAGCGACUAAGCGUACACGGUGGAUGCCCUGGCAGUCAGAGGCGAUGAAGGACGUGCUAAUCUGCGAAAAGCGCCGGCGAGGUGAUAUGAACCUUUGACCCGGCGAUGUCCGAAUGGGGAAACCCAGUGUGAUUCGUCACACUAUCGUUAACUGAAUACAUAGGUUAACGAGGCGAACCGGGGGAACUGAAACAUCUAAGUACCCCGAGGAAAAGAAAUCAACCGAGAUUCCCCCAGUAGCGGCGAGCGAACGGGGAGCAGCCCGGAGUCUGAAUCAGCUUGUGUGUUAGUGGAACGGUCUGGAAAGUCCGACGGUACAGGGUGAUAGUCCCGUACACGAAAAUGCACAGGUUGUGAACUCGAAGAGUAGGGCGGGACACGUGGUAUCCUGUCUGAAUAUGGGGGGACCAUCCUCCAAGGCUAAAUACUCCUGACUGACCGAUAGUGAACCAGUACCGUGAGGGAAAGGCGAAAAGAACCCCGGCGAGGGGAGUGAAAAAGAACCUGAAACCGUGUACGUACAAGCAGUGGGAGCCUACUUGUUAGGUGACUGCGUACCUUUUGUAUAAUGGGUCAGCGACUUAUAUUCUGUAGCAAGGUUAACCGAAUAGGGGAGCCGAAGGGAAACCGAGUCUUAACUGGGCGUUAAGUUGCAGGGUAUAGACCCGAAACCCGGUGAUCUAGCCAUGGGCAGGUUGAAGGUUGGGUAACACUAACUGGAGGACCGAACCGACUAAUGUUGAAAAAUUAGCGGAUGACCUGUGGCUGGGGGUGAAAGGCCAAUCAAACCGGGAGAUAGCUGGUUCUCCCCGAAAGCUAUUUAGGUAGCGCCUCGUGAACUCAUCUUCGGGGGUAGAGCACUGUUUCGGCUAGGGGGCCAUCCCGGCUUACCAACCCGAUGCAAACUACGAAUACCGAAGAAUGUUAUCACGGGAGACACACGGCGGGUGCUAACGUCCGUCGUGAAGAGGGAAACAACCCAGACCGCCAGCUAAGGUCCCAAAGUCAUGGUUAAGUGGGAAACGAUGUGGGAAGGCACAGACAGCCAGGAUGUUGGCUUAGAAGCAGCCAUCAUUUAAAGAAAGCGUAAUAGCUCACUGGUCGAGUCGGCCUGCGCGGAAGAUGUAACGGGGCUAAACCAUGCACCGAAGCUGCGGCAGCGACGCUUAUGCGUUGUUGGGUAGGGGAGCGUUCUGUAAGCCGUUGAAGGUGGCCUGUGAGGGUUGCUGGAGGUAUCAGAAGUGCGAAUGCUGACAUAAGUAACGAUAAAGCGGGUGAAAAGCCCGCUCGCCGGAAGACCAAGGGUUCCUGUCCAACGUUAAUCGGGGCAGGGUGAGUCGACCCCUAAGGCGAGGCCGAAAGGCGUAGUCGAUGGGAAACAGGUUAAUAUUCCUGUACUUGGUGUUACUGCGAAGGGGGGACGGAGAAGGCUAUGUUAGCCGGGCGACGGUUGUCCCGGUUUAAGCAUGUAGGCGGAGGUUCCAGGUAAAUCCGGUACCUUUUAACGCUGAGGUGUGAUGACGAGGCACUACGGUGCUGAAGUAACAAAUGCCCUGCUUCCAGGAAAAGCCUCUAAGCAUCAGGUAACACGAAAUCGUACCCCAAACCGACACAGGUGGUCAGGUAGAGAAUACCAAGGCGCUUGAGAGAACUCGGGUGAAGGAACUAGGCAAAAUGGUGCCGUAACUUCGGGAGAAGGCACGCUGAUAUGUAGGUGAAGCCCCUGCGGGUGGAGCUGAAAUCAGUCGAAGAUACCAGCUGGCUGCAACUGUUUAUUAAAAACACAGCACUGUGCAAACACGAAAGUGGACGUAUACGGUGUGACGCCUGCCCGGUGCCGGAAGGUUAAUUGAUGGGGUUAGCGGUAACGCGAAGCUCUUGAUCGAAGCCCCGGUAAACGGCGGCCGUAACUAUAACGGUCCUAAGGUAGCGAAAUUCCUUGUCGGGUAAGUUCCGACCUGCACGAAUGGCGUAAUGAUGGCCAGGCUGUCUCCACCCGAGACUCAGUGAAAUUGAACUCGCUGUGAAGAUGCAGUGUACCCGCGGCAAGACGGAAAGACCCCGUGAACCUUUACUAUAGCUUGACACUGAACACUGGUCCUUGAUGUGUAGGAUAGGUGGGAGGCUUUGAAGCGUGGACGCCAGUCUGCGUGGAGCCGACCUUGAAAUACCACCCUUUAAUGGCUGGUGUUCUAACGUAGACCCGUAAUCCGGGUUGCGGACAGUGUCUGGUGGGUAGUUUGACUGGGGCGGUCUCCUCCCAAAGAGUAACGGAGGAGCACGAAGGUUAGCUAAUCCUGGUCGGACAUCAGGAGGUUAGUGCAAUGGCAUAAGCUAGCUUGACUGCGAGAGUGACGGCUCGAGCAGGUGCGAAAGCAGGUCAUAGUGAUCCGGUGGUUCUGAAUGGAAGGGCCAUCGCUCAACGGAUAAAAGGUACUCCGGGGAUAACAGGCUGAUACCGCCCAAGAGUUCAUAUCGACGGCGGUGUUUGGCACCUCGAUGUCGGCUCAUCACAUCCUGGGGCUGAAGUAGGUCCCAAGGGUAUGGCUGUUCGCCAUUUAAAGUGGUACGCGAGCUGGGUUUAGAACGUCGUGAGACAGUUCGGUCCCUAUCUGCCGUGGGCGCUGGAGAAUUGAGGGGGGCUGCUCCUAGUACGAGAGGACCGGAGUGGACGCAUCACUGGUGUUCGGGUUGUCAUGCCAAUGGCACUGCCCGGUAGCUAAAUGCGGAAGAGAUAAGUGCUGAAAGCAUCUAAGCACGAAACUUGCCCCGAGAUGAGUUCUCCCUGAGACUAUAAGUCUCCUGAAGGAACGUUGAAGACGACGACGUUGAUAGGUCGGGUGUGUAAGCGCAGCGAUGCGUUGAGCUAACCGAUACUAAUGAACCGUGAGGCUUAACCUUACAACGCCGAAGCUGUU